AGCAAGUCUUCUUCUCCGCCGUGAAACUUUCCGGUUUCUUAUGUCCCCGUCACAAAGUUUCCACGGUCCAGUUCGCUAUUUGUGUUCUGGUCUUUCUUUUUUCAAAAAGAAAAGAAAGAAAUUGUCUUCCAAUCCAGAUGAGGAUCAGGCGUAGGAUGGAUUGAAAACUAGUUUGAUCAGGCUAGGUUUCUAGAGUUGAAUUUUGUAAAAUUGUAGUUGUAUGACUUUUGUAUCUUAAUAAUUUAUAUUUGUUGAGAGUUUAGUGUGAAGGAUUGUAAGAGUGAUUUUCCAUGUUUGGAAUUUUUGUAAGUUUAUUCAAAGGUAUAUGUAAUGGUUAGUUUGUAUUUAUAAGUUUGAUAGUCGGCUUUGUAGAAAACUCCUCUCGGUUUUCUCUAGGUUCACUUCAACUCUAUCCUAUGCUUAGAAUCGAGGAUAUGAAGAACAUGUCCAUAAAAUAGAAGUAGAAUGAAAAGAGGCGCAAGCUUCACAGCUAGAUAGGCAGCUCAUCAUCGGAAAUCUUAUAUUGACCAUUAUUGCCUAAUAACUCGGUUCCUUGUGUAGAGCCACCAUCUUCGCCAGGCUACCACUCGGACUGGAUCUAAGAAAGAACUAACCAAACUGGCUUGACCGACUGGAUCUCUCAACCAUAAGGAGAGGAAAAGGCAAUGUUUCAGGGAGGAUCCCAUCGAGUGGAGGAUUGAAAGCGGCCUACUUGAGAAUGGCUCCUUUGACUUUGCUUGAAACCAGCUUGGUAUUGGCAACUCCACUUGGAGAGCUAGAAGGCAAGGCAGGAACUAGAUCCCAAACGUGCUACUUCUUCGCUUCUUUGCUUGCUGGCUUUCCUGAAAUGACUGAAGCUGGCUUGAUUGAAUGAAUGGACAGCUACGGAUUGGCACGCUGAACUCAUACCCGGAAUCAUAAUCUAAACUCGGGCGAUCAAGAAGGUCUCGAAGAGAAUCUCGAAGUGGAUCAUUGACGACUUUCUUUACUCACUUAUUUUGGUUGGGUUUGAGACCAAGUGCUCGUAAAUAGUGCUAGAUUGUUUUCUUUCGGGGAAAAUUUUAAGUUGUAUUACAGCAGAUGGCUGUAGUAAAUAUUCUUUUGGGUUGUAUUAAGUUUGAGAGCUGACUAAUUGUAAGUAUGAAGUGUUUUGGAGUACUUUAAAUAUAUAUAUAUUGAAGUUAUUUAAAGUA